rnacentral:rRNA from 1 species
UACGUAGGGUGCGAGCGUUGUCCGGAAUUACUGGGCGUAAAGAGCUCGUAGGUGGUUUGUCGCGUUGUUCGUGAAAACUCACAGCUCAACUGUGGGCGUGCGGGCGAUACGGGCAGACUAGAGUACUGCAGGGGAGACUGGAAUUCCUGGUGUAGCGGUGGAAUGCGCAGAUAUCAGGAGGAACACCGGUGGCGAAGGCGGGUCGCUGGGCAGUAACUGACGCUGAGGAGCGAAAGCGUGGGGAGCGAACAGG